CUGGCUUAUUCCAACAGAGAUUUUGGCCUCUUAAAGGUAAUGUGAAUCUCCAUUUUGGUUCUAAUAUUGUCAGACCUUAAUAUGCAGAUAUAAAUAUGCCCGACACAUUGAAUGAAAAUAUGUGGUC